rnacentral:rRNA from 1 species
UACGGAGGGUGCAAGCGUUAAUCGGAAUUACUGGGCGUAAAGCGCGCGUAGGCGGCUAAGUCAGUCGGAUGUGAAAUCCCUGGGCUCAACCUGGGAACUGCAUACGAUACUGCUUGGCUAGAGUGUGGGAGAGGGUGGUGGAAUUCCCGGUGUAGCGGUGAAAUGCGUAGAUAUCGGGAGGAACAUCAGUGGCGAAGGCGGCCUUCUGGACAGUGACUGACGCUGAGACGCGAAAGCGUGGGGAGCAAACAGG